rnacentral:ncRNA from 1 species
AGUUGAGAAAGGUAAACUAUCCCAAAGGAUAGGCCACAAAGUUAUGGGCCUAAGAUAUUGUCAUUGCGAGCCUGCUAAAAGUAGGCGAAGCAAUCUCAUACAAUAUUACGGUUGCCAGACUGCCUGC